ACCCCGACCCAGAGACAAAAAAAAGCAAAAAAAAGGAAAAAAAAACCCUCGCUCCAUAUGAGCUCCCUCCUCUUCCGCAUUGAUUCCGCUGUCUCCUAUCCUCCUCCCCUCCCUCCGCCACCUUCUCCGACGGCGACGCCAUCUUCGAGCUCGACAUCUUCUCAACCGACACAGAUCCAAACCCUAACCCUAGCCCAAGCCCAAGCCCUAGCACCUCUAUCCACCACAAUUCCCCUCUAAACCCUAGCCCUAACUCCAGCACGAGCAGAUCGUCGCUCUUGCUGUUCCAUCCGGAGCACAACUUUGGCAUCCUCGCCGCUUUGCUGGAGGAUUCCAAGGCCAGAAGCCCUAACCCUAAGUUCCUCUAGCGGAAGCCUUCAAUCCCGUCGGCAUCAUCAUCGGCAUCGAUGUCGGCAUCAUCAUCGGCUCCAGAGGGAGGAUGCGGAGUUUUGGAUAGGGAGAGAGACUAUCCAGUAUCUUGACGCCAUUAAAGGCUUCUGACUCCAAAGACCUCGAUGACAAAGAUGACAAGCUCAAGCUGGGGCUUCAAGGGUAAUUGCAGUUCAAGCAAGCAUGAAGAUGGCUUCAGUGGCCACUCAGGGAUUUCAUACAUGUGUCGGUUCUGGUGGGGAAAGGCAAACCCCAGAAUGGUACAUGGAGCAAGGCAUAGAGGUGUGCAGAUCUUGGCAUGAUUUUGUCAUGUCUUUUAUCACAUUAUAGCAUGCAUGCUACAUUCAUAAAUGAGUGCAAAUCUUCCUAAGAAACAUGCAAGGAUGAACAUGCUACAAGCCUACAACAGUGAGGACAUCAGGAACAUACAACAUGACUUAUCCUUAUGAAAAGAAAAUAUUAGUAUACUUUCACUAAUUAAACUAUAUUUCUAUAACUAUUCCGAUCAUUUGAUAACAAUACAUCUUAUGAUAUUAAAAAAAAUCCUUGACUCUUUGGAUUAUCCGGUUUGAAUUACAUGUGGUUCCUCUUACAGAUUGUUUUUUUCCUCAUGGUAAGCAUGUGUAUGUUCAUAUUAUGCACAUCAGCCGAAUGACGGUUCAAGAUAUCCAAACUGUACGUAUACACACGUAUACACACAUACACGUAUACAUACAUACAUAUAUAUGCUAUUUCAUCUUUAUGUUCUUGCAAGCAUCAAGUUCUCCAUCAAGCAUUUGCUAGCAAUGUGGCCAGAAUGACAAAGGCAUGUGAAAUUUGAGAAAUUUUGGUUUGAAUGAGAUCAUAUUUUAUUUUUAAACCCAAAAUUUUAUUUUAGAUUAGAGACACUAACAAUGCAUCUCUCUUUAAUUCUUUGAGGUUUAGGCUUCUCAUUUGAGGUUUAGAAAGAGUUCAAUGACAGAGUCAAAAGGAUUUAUUGGGUGAAUGUUGGAAAAUAUUUUAAUCUUAAUGAUUAAAAGUAAAAAAUAAACCGUUUUUGAGACUUUAAGAACUGAUGUUAGUAAUUUUUGAUAUUUAAUUUGUUCAUUUUGAUGCAAUUAUAACUCAAAAUAAUAUGAUCAAAGACUAUAUUAUGAUUAGGAAAGAGUAAAAAACUUCAAAUCAGGUCAAUUACUUCUAGAAAAAUUACUUAAGAAUUAGCGAAAGAUGACUAAUGUGGAACUACAUCGCAUUGACUGAAGAAUUGGCGGUACAUGAGGUUUGACUGUGGACAAUUAGAUCAAUUUCCAAAAGAGAGGAGAAACAACUUCCUUUUUAUCUUUGGUUUUGACUUUUGAGCAAGAUUCACUCUUCUUGGUUCUUGCUUUCCUAUUGCCAUACAUGUUGAAACUAUUUGCCACAGUAUGACUAAGCUUUUAAUUGGAGAACAUGUUGAAGACUUGGGUCUUUCGUUUUGGGAAGUUCUGCUCUAUCUCUUUAUCAAAAUUGAAUGUCUAUGCACAUUAAAGUUAUGGAAAGUAUUUUCCAAGGAAGAUGUCUCAAUUCUCAUGCAUAUGCUAAACCAUCUGGGAGCAUGCACCAUGCGUACCACAACCUUCAACUGGAGAAACUUUAUUGUUGUCCUUAAGAAUAUGAAAUAAAUGGUCAACCAUUGGAUGGCAUUCAACAUGUUCAAAACCUAAGGUAUUAUUGCUUUUUCAUAAUACGCUAUUGUAUGCAUCUCUUCUUUAGCAGAAAGUAAUCCAAUCUUUGGUCAUGGUUACAUGCCUAUUUUAUGGGGUUUUGUUCUCUUCUUUGACUAAGAAUAUUGAGGGGUUAACAGCUCUCUUUGUUUUGAUAUGGUUGAUUUAGCUAAACAUACUUCCUAACUAUCAAACAAUAGGAAGCAAAAAAGAGUCAGUUUGCAUUUUACUUAUCAACCAAAGCAAAAACAUAACAAAUUUCUCCUGUUGAGCCAUACUAUUAGCCCUCUAAAAGCUAAUAUGGUAUAUUUAAAGUUAGAAGCUUUUUUCUUUUGGUCAGUAAGAUCUCUUUUCGAAUUCUCUUACUAAAUUACACAUGGGAGUAUUUAUGUGUCAUUAACUCAUUAUUAUAAAUAAAGGCAACAUAGAUAUUGUCCUGUUAGAAAGAUGCACCUUUAAUGACAUAACCUUGCAAUUCUUGAGUAGUUCAAGCAAAAAAGAAAAGUAAAUCAAAUUUGUUAAGGGAGAAAAACUGAUGCCAAGAAAAAAAGAAAAGCAAAUCUAAUAUUGUGUACGAUUCUAAUAUUGACUUUCACACAUUAGUUUGCCUAUUUCAUUUUAUUUGUUUAUUUUAGUAGUACAUAACAGCUGAGUUGUAGCAAAGUUUCUCUUUAUUUAAUGUCAUUGUUAAAAGGUGAUAGUUCUUUUAGUUAUCAUAUUUAGUACUAUCUUAUUAAAUUUCUCAUAUUUGAGAUUUGGCUGACUAAUCUAUAAGCAAUUGUCUAAUUUAGAUUGACUUCUUGACCAGAUUAUAAAGAAAAUGUGUGUGGAAACUGACAUGUUGACCUUGAUCUUUGUGAAUUUGGGGAUAAGUAUUGAAUCCAUACUAAGUGUAACAAAGUGCAGAUAAGAGAACAUUUUGUAUACAUUAAAUUUAUUGAAGAAUUAGUUAUGUAGAAAAUAUAUAUAGAAGAGCAUGUAACUAAUGUGUGUUCUAUUCCACUCUUGGUCAGUUCUCUUCAAAGUUUCACCAAUAGUACAUACACAAGAUGUUGCAAUCUAUAGCAAUUGAUGAAGCUUUGAUAUUGGAUUUAGCUAAGCUAUUCCCUUAUAUAAUACGAAAACCGAUAGAAAGUUCCAAUCAUGCAUGAUUUCAUAAUAAUCAUUUUAUGAGUGAAAUGCGAGAUCUCUUAAAUUACAGUCGCAGCUUCUUGGAUGUCAGUUUUUUCACAGCUUCUUUCACAACACCUUCGUCUCUGAAACUGAUUGACAAAAUAACAGGUAACAGUCUUCAUAAUUAUGUUGCCUAAUUUGAUAAUUAAUUAUAAUCUACUGCAAUAACCUUAAAUUAUUGAAAUUUCCUUCCAUGCCAAAUCAUAAGAUAAAAUUGAAAGUAAUAUUUUCGCACAUUUAUACACUGAAAAGAUUGACCUUUAUUGUGCUAUUUCGAUUUCACUUUUGAGUAUUUACUUGAUCUUUAGAAAUUUGGUUAAUGAUGGCUUGGGAUGGUAUAACCAUGAAG